rnacentral:rRNA from 1 species
AUUGACGCUGGCGGCAUGCCUUACACAUGCAAGUCGAACGGCAGCACGGGUGCUUGCACCUGGUGGCGAGUGGCGAACGGGUGAGUAAUACAUCGGAACGUACCUUAUCGUGGGGGAUAACGCAGCGAAAGCUGUGCUAAUACCGCAUACGCCCUGAGGGGGAAAGCGGGGGAUCGCAAGACCUCGCGCGAUUAGAGCGGCCGAUGCCUGAUUAGCUAGUUGGUGGGGUAAAAGCCCACCAAGGCGACGAUCAGUAGCUGGUCUGAGAGGACGAGCAGCCACACUGGGACUGAGACACGGCCCAGACUCCUACGGGAGGCAGCAGUGGGGAAUUUUGGACAAUGGGGGCAACCCUGCUCCAGCAAUGCCGCGUGAGUGAAGAAGGCCUUCGGGUUGUAAAGCUCUUUUGUCAGGGAAGAAACACCGGCUCUAACACAGUCCGGGAAUGACGGUACCUGAAGAAUAAGCACCGGCUAACUACGUGCCAGCAGCCGCCGUAA